rnacentral:rRNA from 1 species
AGGACGACGCUGGCGGCAUGCCUAACACAUGCAAGUCGAACGGAGCUUAAGAAGCUUGCUUUUAAGCUUAGUGGCGGACGGGUGAGUAACGCGUGAGUAACCUGCCUCUUAGUGGGGAAUAAUGUACUGAAAAGGACGCUAAUACCGCAUAAUGUAUUGAGAUCGCAUGGUUUUGAUACCAAAGAUUUAUCGCUGAGAGAUGGACUCGCGUCCGAUUAGCCAGUUGGUGGGGUAACGGCCUACCAAAGCGACGAUCGGUAGCCGGACUGAGAGGUUGAACGGCCACAUUGGGACUGAGACACGGCCCAGACUCCUACGGGAGGCAGCAGUGGGGGAUAUUGCGCAAUGGGGGAAACCCUGAACCGCAGCAAUGCCGCGUGGAGGAUGAAGGUCUUCGGAUUGUAAACUCCUUUUGUCAGGGACGAAAAUGACGGUACCUGACGAAUAAGCUCCGGCUAACUACGUGCCAGCCGCUGC